rnacentral:ncRNA from 1 species
AAUAAGGGGUGCUUCACGAUUGUGUUGCUGAGAUCAUACCCAUAGAACUUGAUGCAGGUAAUGCUGCCGCAGGGAACG